UGCAGUCGAGCGGUCAUAGCCUUUCGUCGUCGCCAGACGGCGUGAGUAACGAGUAACGAACGUACCUUCUGCCCCGCACUCUGGGAUAAACUUUGUGCCUGGCCCUAAUACCCCCUUUGACCGAAAGAUUUAUCGCCGUGUGAUCGACCCACGUCUGAUUACCUAAUUGGUGAGGUAAUGGCUCACCUGGGCGACGAUCAAUAGCUGGUCUGGAGGAUGAUCAGCCACAUUGGGACUGAGACACGGCCCAAACUCCUACGGGAGGCAGCACUGGGGAAUAUUGGACAAUGGGCGCAAGCCUGAUCCAGCCAUGCCGCGUGAGUGAUGAAGGCCCUAGGGUUGUAAAGCUCUUUUGUGCGGGAAGAUAAUGACGGUACCGCAAGAAUAAGCCCCGGCUAACUUCGUGCCAGCAACCGCGGUAAUACGAAGGGGGCUAGCGUUGCUCGGAAUCACUGGGCGUAAAGGGUGCGUAGGCGGGUCUUUAAGUCAGGGGUGAAAUCCUGGAGCUCAACUCCAGAACUGCCUUUGAUACUGAAGAUCUUGAGUUCGGGAGAGGUGAGUGGAACUGCGAGUGUAGAGGUGAAAUU
rnacentral:rRNA from 1 species